rnacentral:rRNA from 1 species
AUUUAAACUAAAAGAGUAGUAAUAUAAUAAAACUAAUACAUUUUGGCGGCAUUUAUUCUUAUUAGAGGAGCUUGUUUUUUAAUCGAUACCCCACGAUAAACCUUACUUAAACUUAAAAUCUUAUAUACCACCAUAAAAGGAAAAAAACUAAAUUUUUUCUCAAAAUAAGAUUAACAUAAUAGGUAAAGGUGUAGAACAUGUUUAAGAAAAAAUGCGCUACAUUAAAAAUUAUUUAAGGAUAUAGAAGAAACUCAAAUUGAAAAAGGAUUUAUAAGUAAUAUAUAAAUAAUAAUUAUCUAUGAAUAAGAUAAAAAUGUGC